rnacentral:rRNA from 1 species
CCUACGGGAGACAGCAGUGGGGAAUAUUGCACAAUGGGGGAAACCCUGAUGCAGCAACGCCGCGUGAGUGAAGCAGCAUCUCGGUAUGUAAAGCUCUAUCAGCAGGGAAGAAAAUGACGGUACCUGACUAAGAAGCCCCGGCUAACUACGUGCCAGCAGCCGCGGUAAUACGUAGGGGGCAAGCGUUAUCCGGAUUUACUGGGUGUAAAGGGAGCGUAGACGGUGUGGCAAGUCUGAAGUGAAAGCCCGGGGCGCAACCCCGGGACUGCUUUUGAAACUGUCAUGCUGGAGUGCUGGAGAGGCAGGCGGAAUUCCUAGUGUAGCGGUGACAUGCGUAGAUAUUAGGAGGAACACCAGUGGCGAAGGCGGCUUACUGGACAGUAACUGACGUUGAGGCUCGAAAGCGUGGGGAGCAAACAGGAUUAGAUACCCCAGUAGUC